GAUGAACGCUGGCGGCGUGCCUAAUACAUGCCAGUCGAGCGAACAGACGAGGAGCUUGCUCCUCUGACGUUAGCGGCGGACGGGUGCGUAACACGUGGAUAACCUACCUAUAAGACUGGGAUAACUUCGGGAAACCGGAGCUAAUACCGGAUAAUAUAUUGAACCGCAUGGUUCAAUAGUGAAAGACGGUUUUGCUGUCACUUAUAGAUGGAUCCGCGCCGCAUUAGCUAGUUGGUAAGGUAACGGCUUACCAAGGCAACGAUGCGUAGCCGACCUGAGAGGGUGAACGGCCACACUGGAACUGAGACACGUUCCAGACUCCGACAGGAGGCAGCGGUAGGGAAUCUUCCGCGAUGGGCGAAAGCCUGACGGAGCAACGCCGCGUGAGUGAUGAAGGUCUUCGGAUCGUAAAACUCUGUUAUUAGGGAAGAACAAAUGUGUAAGUAACUAUGCACGUCUUGACGGUACCUAAACAGAAAGCCACGGCUAACUACGUG
rnacentral:rRNA from 1 species